UUCUAGCCCGGAUCGAAGUGGAAAUCCUUUUUUUUUAGCGUUGGAUAAAGCUUUGGCAAAAAAGAUUGCAACGUAGAGCCGGUUUAUAU
rnacentral:sRNA from 1 species